AUCAACCCCCACCCCCACUUUUCAUUGCGUGAAAAUAUUGUGUAAUAUUUUACAUUCGUGGUGGUCGGCUUUAUGAACCAAGUAGAUGAGUCAAUCCCCAUUAUACCGCGUGUAUUAUAACAAAAUAUUGUACAGUUUAGCUACUACGUACAGUAGUACUAGCUGCUCAAAUCAAAUAAUUAUUUAACAGAGGCACUACUUUAUUAUUAAGUGUAUUAUUAUAAACUUAUGUAAAUUGUGCUGACAACACAAACAAUUUAAGGGUUAGUGCCCCGCGGGUUUCACAAUAUGAAUGUGUACCGGUUCACAUAGAAAUAGAAUGCUCUCUCCCGUUAAAUAAAAAAAAAAACAGUUUUUAGGUUCCACAGUGGCCUCUUGUAAGUGACCUGAAGAUUAAAAAAAAAACGGUUACUUUACUAUCAUACGUACAGUUUCCUACCUUCCACACUUUCACGUCAUCACAAAUGCUCGAUUUUAGUAAUAGAAACAACGAAAUAUGUAUAUAUAUACACUUAUACACGAACGGUGUUGGCCUAACAAAAAGCGUUCGACGACCGAAUUCACGUUUGCUAUCCUUCGUUUGUGUAACUAGCAAGUAUGUAUCUAUAUACACAGACCAAUGCGUGCUGAGCGCGCUUAGGAAAUUAUAACCAAUUGGUUUAUUGAUACUAUGAAUAGUAUAUAGUUUAUAAAAAAUGAAUUUAUUGUAAGUUAGCACAAAGAUUUAAUAUAUUUUAUUAUCACAUAGGAAUUUUACUUGAUAUACUAAAUAAAUACGUAUACUUACAUACAAUUAACUGCAUAAAAUGCAGUUUUUUUUUAUUCUGCCAUAAUGGCUGCAUUGAGCUUAAAAAGUGACCAAUAUUAUGCAUUAGUUGCAGAUAAAUGCCGGCCAGAAAUGACAUUUUGUUUUGAGUCUUGUUUUUGGUGCAAUAUGUAUUUGGUAGGUAUGAGUUGCGACAAAGGGUAAUAUGAAUUACAAAAUACUGUACAGUCUUCAUCAAAUGUAGCGUAUCUGAGUAUGCGCGAAAGUAUCAACCAUUUAUACUGUGGCAUAUACUUUUGAGCGCAAACUGUAGAGAUUUUGGCACGUUGUUGCAUUCGCUACUAUGGAUGCUAAGUUAGACUUGUAUUGCUGAAUAGUUAGCAUUGCUAGCUAUGCAGCAAUACAAGUCGCGUAGUACGAGUAGGUAUAGGUAGAUAUUGAUGACAUGCAUUGCGAGACAUGCUUAAUGGUGACAUGUAAGUUUUAGUAGCAUAUUGUAAAUAUUUGUUCUGGCCGGCUCGAAAUUUGUGGUCUAUAUCAAUUAAUUUAUGUUAUGCGGCCUAUUUAUACAUAGUACAUGUUUUGUGUGGGUGCUACGAAUUUCUUUGCAUUAGGCACACAUGCAAAAUAACAUUUAAACAAAAAUAUGCCCUCAAUCUGUGCCUGAUAUAACCGUAUAAAAUAUGUACUUUUUGAAAGCUUUGUCGUUUGUUGAAUAAAACUUAGUACAAAAUGUGACACACUGAUUCGACAGGGAUGUAUAAUGUAAGUGAAACCGAAGACUGUUUAAAGCUUGUAGAUAUUUUGAACCCGAAGUAAUUAACUUUGUCUCGAGGAGGGGCCCGUGCCGGAGAAUCAUAGUGUCAGUGUUGUUAUUCCAAUUUGGUAUAACCCUUACCAAAUUCAGCUAGUACCUAAUAUUUUAAGCUAAGAUGUAGGUAUAUUUUAUUAAGGUAACAUUUAGAUAUCAUGUUAUCACACAACAUUGUUGAACAUUUUGUCUUAUGUAAAAGUGUCACCUAUAUUCCAAGACUUGAAACUUUAAAGCUGACAAUUAGCGACAAUGGUUACGUCACACGUACCGCAGCCGAAAAUAUGUAUAUUAGAGAUUUUACUUAGAAUACAGGUAAUUACUGUUAUAUAAGACAUACUAAGUGUUGACAUGUAAAUAUAAGUGUUUAAACGUUCAUCGACAUUACUGUUAUAAUCUGGGGAAUUCACACACAUCCAAAGUUGUAGGAAUGUCCAUCAUACGCCUAAUUCUUUUAUAAUAAUAAAGCCACUUUCUUCCCUUUAUCGUGAUUAAGUAUCAUCCUAUGGUAUGGUGUCCUGUAGAAAACAGCCCUUCAUACUUGUUUGUAAUCAAAACCGUCCUAUUUGACCACACUCUAUAUUAGCCUUGUAGUACAUACAUAGUGUACUAAGUAUAUAUUUUUGUACGUCGCACUGAAAGUCACAUGCAAUCAUAUUACAAAGUAUUCAUUAAUUCCAUUUCACAAUACAUAUAAGAUCCAUGUACGUAUUUUUGAGUACAAAUUUGAAUGACCAUAAUUCAUCUUCAUUAUGGAUGUUAAUAAUUAGGAGUGCAUUGCAUAUACCUACUCGUAUGUAAGUGUGAUUUGUCUAUAUGUUGUACACCAUAGUUUUACAUUUAAACAUGUUUAAUAAGUUUAAAGCAUAAUGUUUAUCAAUAUUUUUCCUAGGAUUGUGCAGUGUUUGUUGUUUUAGUGUCAUACAUUUGGAUGUGAUACUAUUUAUUUUAUUUGACAAUGGUUAGUUUGGCCUAGCCUGUGUCACCCUGUGUUUUUAAUCAAUAUAUAUUUUUUAAUUAUCAUUUUAAAUCGAUUAAGAUUCAACUUAACACUGGCGCGGCAACCGGAUGCGGCAACAGUGUGCGAGCGAGAUAGCCCUACGCACGUCCAUAACGCUGUUUCGCUCGCACGCCGUCACCGCACUCUGUUACGACGCCAGUGUGGUUGAUAAUAAAACGCUGUUCGACCAGUGAGGAUAGGCGAGAAGCAAGAAGUGAUGCGCGAAUACAGAUGUUCAAGUUUCGGAAAGUUUCCAAAUAGUUUAAAAAUUCUCGAAAAUUUCAGGCAAUAUUUACAAAAAAAAAAAAAAUAACGAUCCGCAUACAAUAAUAUUUCGCAAUUUUAGAAAUAUUUCAACGACACUUCAGUUUGCACGAAUAUUUCUUCAUGUUAGAGGAAGUUCCCACUAGAAAGGUGUACAUUUCAUCUGUUAUAUCUACUCACAUAGGAUCUACAUACAGGGUGGUUCAUGAGACGUGAGCAGGACCAACACUCUGUAAAUGUUAAUGGAUCGUUUUAGGUAUAUUUAAAAUAACACUUUUUCCGUUUUUUUUUCCUUUUUGCAAAGUAACGGUUAAGUCGAUAAAAGUGAUAACUCCGAAGAAACCUCUUUUAAUCGUUAUGUUCGUGUCAUUUUACACUUUCCACGAAGCAAAGUAUCGGUACUCGUUAAUUCAAUUCAAUUAUUUAUUUCAAAAGAUAACAGUGAUCCCAUUGUGUUAGUAAUACAUAUUAUAAAAUAAGGCUUAAAAACUAUAUUAAUAAUUAAAAGUUACGACUUAAUUAAUUUAAUUAAACAUAUCAUAAUGGGACAACAAACGUGAUCAGCAAUCAUCUUUAGAAUGCUGUUUGUGCUAUCCCUGGUUCUACGCAGUAAUGAGGCCGCUUUCUUGCGUAUAAUUGCCGCAAAGCCGUCGGUUCGCGCCUCCGCAAACAUGGCGGAAGCGCUGCAGAACCUAGGCAUAGCUAUAGCUGACCCAAAGGCUGCCUGUGUAAAAGGAUGAACAAAGUGCCUUAAACAGAGUUAUCUUAACCGUUUUUGAACAUCUAGCAAACCUUCGGGCUAGCUAAGUCGCCCAAGUUCUCGGUAACAAUAUGCCCUAGGUAUUUAUACCUAUUGACUCUCUCGAGAGCAGUCCCACAGUCGAACUGGAGGUACAUGUGAGGGACAUUAGUUACCGGCCUUAAACACCAUUAUUUCGCUGUUUUUACCGUUAUAAAUUAAACCGUGUGAGGAAGCAUAGGACUCGCAUAUGGCUACAAGCUUGCGGAGAGCGCCGACCGAGGGCGCCAGCAGCACCAUGUCGUCCGCGUAACUGAUGUUUAAGCACACGCCAUCAACAUGGCAGCCGACAUGAGUGCUGCUAAUCUGCUCGAUCAGCGCGUCCACGUACAGGUGAGCUUAGCCCACCUUGUCGUACGCCACACUCAAGCCUAUAUGACGCCUAGGCGUCACAAACCCGGUUUACCCGAAAUCGAAAAAGCCGGAAAAACCGGGUUUACAGCCAAUUGCAAAAACCGGGUUUUAACUUUGAUAAAACCGGCUUUUUCGAGUUUUUCGAUUUUACAGUUUUAUAUACAAAGUUUAAUUAUUUUGAUGAGCAACAACAACACUUCAGAGAUUACUAUUAUAUUUAGAACAAUACAACACAUUAUAAGUACGCACUAAUUGUAUAAAUAAACAGCUUACUAUUUUCACUAAAUAUCCCUUAAUUUCCCUAUUUCAACGUUGUAGUAGUAACGCUCAUUGAUCUCCAGUUAAAAAUGUUAAUUGUAUUAAUUAUAACAAAAGUCAAUCAGGCGGGGUAAAUGCCGCGUUUUCUUCUUCUUUGUCGUAUCAUCAUGACUGAGAGACGUGAAGAAUGUGGACACGUUCACCAGUAUAUUUUAUAUUUGCCAAGUUUUGCACAUAAAUAGGCUGCUUAAGUGCUCCUUGAAGUUGAGGCUUCUAUCCAGGAUGCUACGGAGAUAUUUAGGAAGGAAGUUGUGGUGGAGAAGAUUGCCCCUGAAUUUUACUCUCAGCUCCUUAACUGUUUUGAAUGAUUCACGGUUAUUUUUACUAGACAUAUAUCGACCGUGACCGCCAGGUUACCCGUGAACAAGAUGCAUGUAACUGCGUCGAAAUAUCGGGAGCUCGAAAACAAUGCAAAAGGUAUAAUCACGGUCCAUAUCCCGGUCGAUAUAAGUCUCAGCUCCUUGUUGGCCAGUUUGUUGCACAGGUGAAAGCAGGACACCUCGGUCUUGGACAACUGGGGCACAAACGCCACCGAGAGAAAUAGUCAUCUAAUAGAUAUUAGGACCUGGGUCCUUUUCCAGAGUAUUUUGUGCCAUUUUCAAGCUGUCUUCUUGUGCAUAUCCUCGUUUCGCUGAUUUGAAUAAUCGUGGUGGCGAUGUUGUUGCCAUCCAUGUUAUUUGAAAUCACGUGGACCAGGGCAGUAAGAAAUGACUGGGCGUAUGUUGUAGUUCUGUAUUGUUAUUGGUGUAAUGAUUAAUGCCGCUACCAAAUCAAAUCCUGGUAUUUUACCUCGUUUAGCCAGUUGGGCAUUAUCAGCGGUGUGUUUCCAGAAGGAGGACUGUGUCAACACCAUUGUCAUGUAAUAUUUUGCUUAAGGCAUGCCGUUUGAAAAUUGCUUUAAAAACUUUUAUUGAUGGAAUUUAAUUUAGUAGGAAAAGGUAAUAUUAAAGCAUUGAUCUUAAAAAUACUUGCUCAUUUUACAAAUUAAUACGUAAACUCGAAAUCACCGAAAAAACCGGAAACCCGGUUUUGCUGUUUCACAAAAACCGAAAAACCGGUUUUCUAAAAUACGCACGGUUUUGUGACCCCUAAUGACGCCGUAACCUCACCCGCCCACCUCACACGGCUCUCCUGAUUGAGAUACCAGUACCUGAUAAGCUGAAUAAACUCUGGUGGUAGCUUAGACUGCUCCAACUUAUGCCAUAAGAUGUCGUAUGAAACGAGAUCGAAAGCUUGACAGCUCUAAAAAAUUGGCCAAGUGCGAGUCGGACUCGCACACGAAGGGUUCCGUACCAUUAUCUAUAAAAACGGUCACCCAUCCAAGUACUGACCCCGCCCGACGUUGCUUAACUUCGGGCAAAAAUCACGUUUGUUGUAUGGGAGCCCCACUUAAAUCUUUAUUUUAUUCUGUUUUUAGUAUUUGUUGUUAUAGCGGCAACAGAAAUACAUCAUCUGUGAAAAUUUCAACUGUGACAGACGGACGGACGGACAGCGGAGUCUUAGUAAUAGGGUCCCUUUUUACCCUUUGGGUACGGAACCCUUAAAAACGGGCGUAUAUAGGCGUCUUUCUGUCUGUGUAGUAGUUGCAGUUUCUGUUGACAGCCCAGGAGGCCGAUUUUUGAACUUCGACCGCUCGAUUUCGUGUAUUUCGUUCAAUAAUAUCUCCACUACUAGGCAUUUAAAUUCUACUAAUAGGAUUGAAAACGAGUGGUGAAUACCACUAGAUUCCCAAUUUCUAUCGCUCGUAUUUCAAAAAUUAGCAUUUCGCCGUUUUCCACCGAUUUUUGAGUGACGAAAUCGAACGAUCGAAAUUCAAAAAUCGGCCCCCAGGGCGAAAUCCGAACUGGUUGUCGUGCAGUUUGAUAUGAACAAUUAAUAAUUUAAUUUAUAAAUUAACGGCGAUCUCACUAAUACUGGUACGACACGAUAGCUUAUCACAGUCCUACUGAAUGUGUAGGGUUGAUCCUGCUCACGUCUCCUAAGCGGCGUACUUGUUCAGUGUUCUGAAUUCACAUAUUUUAUAGAUUAUUUUGUUUUCCAAUGAAUUUGUGCGAUGUAAAAAGAUUCCAUAAAUGCCGUCCCGCCGCGAUGUUCACGGGUUGGCAGUAAUAUACCUUACAGUAUAUCUACAAGUUUCAGUCGUAUGAUGGAGAUUUUGUUUUUAGAAUAAGAGAUGACUAUGUAAAUCUGAAAUUAACAUUAUUUUGUAGAUGUAUUGAUAGAAUGCACUGUUUAUUUCUAUGUACUCUUAUUAUGUUGUUCUGUUAGUUAUUGUUUUUAUUUAUAAGAUAACAAGUGUUAGUGUAAUUAUUCAAUUAUAAUUGAAUGUUAAAUUAAGUGAAGAUAUCCAUGUUGUUAAUUAGUCUCUAUGGAUGUUGACUUACACCAUUUGCUAUGCAGUGAUAAUAAAUGAUAUGAUAGUAUUUAU